UACAGAGGUCUCAAGCGUUGUUCGGAUUCAUUGGGCGUAAAGGGUGCGUAGGCGGCGCGGUAAGUCGGGUGUGAAAUCUCGGGGCUUAACUCCGAAACUGCAUUCGAUACUGCCGUGCUUGAGGACUGGAGAGGAGACUGGAAUUUACGGUGUAGCGGUGAAAUGCGUAGAUAUCGUAAGGAAGACCAGUGGCGAAGGCGAGUCUCUGGACAUUUCCUGACGCUGAGGCACGAAAGCCAGGGGAGCAAACGGG
rnacentral:rRNA from 1 species